rnacentral:rRNA from 1 species
UACGUAGGGGGGCAAGCGUUGUCCGGAUUUAUUGGGCGUAAAGAGCGUGUAGGCGGCUAGGUAGGUCCGUUGUGAAAAACUCGAGGCUUAACCUCGAGAUGUCAUCGGAAACCAUUUGGCUAGAGUCCGGAAGAGGAAAGUGGAAUUCCUGGUGUAGCGGUGAAAUGCGCAGAUAUCAGGAAGAACACCAAUGGCGAAAGCAGCUUUCUGGGACGGUACUGACGCUGAGACGACGAAAGCGUGGGGAGCGAACAGG